CCUCCUCUCUCUCCCCCCCCCCGUCCCCCCUCCCCCUUAGCCAGUGGAUUGGGGCUUCAGAGCCGGGGCCAGAGAGACAGUGUGAGCCCAGGCGCUCAGCCUGCAGCAGCUGACGCGGAGGCGCCUCUGGAGGGGGGUUGAGGGGGGGGCGCUCCUUCUGCAUGGAUUACAGGGCUCGGAGACCCAGCUGGAGGAACCCAGAUUUAUUUUGGGACCUUUCAGCACCUGGGAGCUAAUCCAAGGCGUACUUUGUUAGCAUUUGUGUUUUUAAAGAAGUGUUUCAGAAAACGACUUGCUGGACACCUAAGCACUGAGUUAUAGAAAAAUAGGAUGCUUGAAAUGAGCAUUCCACCCGUGUAACAGCCAGUUUCUCUAGCAGGCACGUUUCCCAUUUACAAUAGAUUCUAUUUUGUCUGUAACCGCAAAGCUGCAUAUAUAUGGUGUUUGUCACAGUUUAGAAAACGCAAGACUUGUAUUCACACAGAGAAUAACGUGUUAUGUGUACAUUAAAAGGAAGAAAUCUUUAUGUGAGCUCUGUGGGCUUUUAGUUAUAUUUGUUUGUGAGAAUCAUCGGGUACUUUGACUUGAUUUAUGAGAACCUUUGCAAUAAAGAAUUUAAAUGUGAUUUUUUUCUCUCUAAUAAAUAUAUUAAAUUACCAAAAGGA